rnacentral:tRNA from 1 species
GCCCCGAUAGCUCAACAGGAUAGAGCAGCCGCCUCCUAAGCGGCAGGUUAGGCGUUCGAGUCGUCUUCGGGGCGCCA